GAUCCUGGCUCAGGAUGAACGCUAGCUACAGGCUUAACACAUGCAAGUCGAGGGGGCAGCAUUUUAGUUUGCUUGCAAACUGAAGAUGGCGACCGGCGCACGGGUGAGUAACACGUAUCCAACCUGCCGAUAACUCCGGAAUAGCCUUUCGAAAGAAAGAUUAAUACCGGAUGGCAUACGAAUAUCGCAUGAUAUUUUUAUUAAAGAAUUUCGGUUAUCGAUGGGGAUGCGUUCCAUUAGUUUGUUGGG
rnacentral:rRNA from 1 species